CAAUAAAUAUAAGGCUGCAUCCUCUGAAGUUAUGUGAGCAUGCGUCAUACACCAGCAACUAAUACGACAGAUGUAAGAGAAGUGGGAAAGUUUGGAAGACGUCUAAGAUAUCCACACCACAGAGUUAGUGUUGUUGAACUACAGCUGCCAGCAUCCUUUAUCUUUGGCCAUACAGCUGAAGACUUCUUGAAGUCGUGGCUCAGUAACAUCUGGAGGACUUGAUCUAGAACACAUGUUGCAAUAUGGGAGAAGAUCUGUUUAAGACCACUGAAUGCAGAAAAGACUGUACCUUGACUGACGUUUUGGAAAGAAAAAAGAUGAUUGAAGCGGAAGGGGAAUAUGAGAGGGAUAUGUUGUCUGGAUUCCCCUUCCCUAUUCUGAUGCCUCUAGAUCUGCUGGAACUGUAAUACAUGCUGGGUAAGAAUUAUAACACUUCUGAGGGGAGACAGGUUUGGGGAAGACUGAUCUGGACCUUCUCCCCCAAGACAUACACAAAA